rnacentral:lncRNA from 1 species
GUGUCAGGUAAAAACGCUUGCUUUUUGUACAGUGUUUAACAGCAAGUUUAAUUUCAGAAUCAUAACACUGUAGCUUAUUUGAAAUCCUCUUUGUUUAUACUUUCCUCCCAAUGCUUGCUCACUUGUAACUGGCUCAUGUUAGUCACGCACACUCACCCCAGAGAAAAUAUGUACUCAGAUUGCUAAACAUGGCUGGAAAACACUUUUUUCUUGCCUUUUUUUUUUUUUUUUUGGCCAGUAAAAUGUUCCCAGUCAUCUUUGGCUCUUGUACUUUCCUCAAUGGUCUUUUACAGUUUUCCCAAGAACACAACCACCUGGGAAGGCAAAGGAGAGGGUUCAACUCGGAGAUCAUGGAGCAAUUCACCCAUUUCCGGGAACAUCGACAACCCAGGAGGCAGCCCCUGGCGAGGAGAGCACCUUUCCGGAAGAUGCGUUCCUGAGCUUAGAACAGGCUGUUACUGUGGUUCUCACGACCCUCCUGUAAGAUGUCACAGCAUGCCAAGACAUAGGCUCCUUCUCUUGCAUGAGGCAGCUUCCACAGACAGAUGUGCAUGAAACAAUGAGGUGCAUUGAGCCGUCC